rnacentral:tRNA from 1 species
GGGGGCAUGUGAUCCUGGUGGACGCCACAGGCUUCAACCCUGAUGGAGGUUUUGCUGACAAAGCCUCGGGAGGUUCGAUUCCUUCGCCUUC